rnacentral:rRNA from 1 species
AGCGGAGGAAAAGAAACUAACAAGGAUUCCCCUAGUAACGGCGAGUGAACCGGGAAGAGCUCAAAUUUGAAAUCUGGCGUGCUCAGUGCGUCCGAGUUGUAAUCUAUAGAGUCGUUUUCCGUGCCGGACUGUGUCCAAGUCCCUUGGAACAGGGUAUCAAAGAGGGUGAUAAUCCCGUACUUGACACAAUGACCGGUGCUCUGUGAUACGUCUUCUACGAGUCGAGUUGUUUGGGAAUGCAGCUCAAAAUGGGUGGUGAGUUCCAUCUAAAGCUAAAUAUUGGCGAGAGACCGAUAGCGAACAAGUACCGUGAGGGAAAGAUGAAAAGCACUUUGGAAAGAGAGUUAAACAGUACGUGAAAUUGUUAAAAGGGAAACGAUUGAAGUCAGUCGUGACUGAGAGGCUCAGCCGGUUCUGCCGGUGUAUUCCCCUCAGUCGGGUCAACAUCAGUUUUGUUCGGUGGAUAAGGGCGGUUGGAAGGUGGCACCCUCGGGUGUGUUAUAGCCAACUGUCGCAUACAUCGGAUGAGACUGAGGAAUGCAGCUCGCCUUUAUGGCCGGGGUUCGCCCACGUUCGAGCUUAGGAUGUUGACAUAAUGGCUUUAAACGACCCGUC